UACGUAGGGUGCGAGCGUUAAUCGGAAUUACUGGGCGUAAAGCGUGCGCAGGCGGUUUUGUAAGACAGAUGUGAAAUCCCCGGGCUUAACCUGGGAACUGCAUUUGUGACUGGCGGGCUAGAGUAUGGCAGAGGGGGGUAGAAUUCCACGUGUAGCAGUGAAAUGCGUAGAGAUGUGGAGGAAUACCGAUGGCGAAGGCAGCCCCCUGGGCCAAUACUGACGCUCAUGCACGAAAGCGUGGGGAGCAAACAGG
rnacentral:rRNA from 1 species